AUUGAACGCUGGCGGCAGGCCUAACACAUGCAAGUCGAGCGAGCGGCGGACGGGUGAGUAAUGUUUGGGGACUGCCCGAUAGAGGGGGAUAACUACUGGAUACGGUAGCUAAUACCGCAUAGUAUCGGAUAACGCAUAGGGGCUUGGCUAGUAGGGGAGGUAAUGGCUCACCUAGGCGACGAUCCCUAGCUGGUCUGAGCGGAUGAUCGGCCACACGGGGACUGAGACACGGCCCAGACGCCUGCGGAGGCAGCAGUGGGGAAUAGGGCACAACGGGCGCAAGCCUGAUGCAGCCAUGCCGCGUGUAAGAAGAAGGCCCUAGGGGUGUAAAGUACUUUCAGUCGGGAGGCGUUAGAGAGAGAAGAAGCACCGGCUAACUCCGUGCCAGCAGCCGCGGUAAUUC
rnacentral:rRNA from 1 species